CAGAGACAUUGCUAAGAACUCUCUGCUGCGGUGGCCCAUCUUCAUUUACUGGACUCUCCUGGGUGUGUACGACGCCAUCGUGAUGUUCUUCGGUGCUUACUUCCUGUUUGACAACACCACCUUCACCAGCAACGGACAGAUGUUUGGAAACUGGACGUUUGGGACGCUGGUCUUCACUGUGCUGGUCUUCACUGUUACAUUCAAGUGGCUCUGGA